rnacentral:rRNA from 1 species
CCCUUAGAUGUUCUGGGCCGCACGCGUGCUACACUGAGUGGAUCAGCGGGUCAGGUUGCGCGAAAGCGUUUCCUAAUCUUUAAAUCCGCUCGUGAUGGGGAUUGACGGUUGCAAUUUUCUGUCAUGAACGAGGAAUACCUUGUAAGCGCGGGUCAUCAUCCCGCGCUGAAUACGUCCCUGCCCUUUGUACACACCGCCCGUCGCUACUACCGAUUGAAUGGUUUAGUGAGAUCUCUGGAUUGACGCUGGCUAGGGGGCGACCCUUGGCCAGACUGCUCGAGAAACUGCUCAAACUUGAUCAUUUAGAGGAAGUAAAAGUCGUAACA